rnacentral:rRNA from 1 species
CCUGCCGAAUGAAUUAGCCCUGAAAAUGGAUGGCGCUCAAGCGAGUAGCCGACACUGUGCCGUCUGAGAAAAAAAAGGAAAUUGCAAAACUUGACAAAAACACACAAAAAUUCCAGAUGAGUAGGAGGAACGUGACGGUUGUAUAGAAGCGUGUGCGCAAGCAUGCGUGGAACGGCCGUUAGUGCAGAUCUUGGUGGUAGUAGCAAAUAUUCAAAUGAAAACCUUGAAGGGCGAAGCGGGGAAGGGUUCCACGCGAACAUUGAUUGGGCGUGGGUGAGUCGUUCCUAAGGCGUCUGGUAAUUGACUAGUUAUGCGGCGAAAGGGAAGCAGGUUUAUAUUCCUGCACACGGAUGUGGAAAUGCGGUGACGCACACUGGGGCGGUGAAGUCGUCGGUUGCACUGGGCAGAGAUUUCUUUUCUGUUUGACGGAGCCUGACUGUACACUAUGGAAUCCGCUUGUCGGGAGAAAUAGGUAUGUCACGGCAAAGCGCCGGGUUUUUUUUCUGGCGUCCAGUUUGCGACUGGCGGACCAUGAAAAGCUGUCUGCUGGCAAAACAGCAAUGUUUUGUGUGAAAAAAUUCCACGCCGUAACCGUACCCAUAACCGCAUCAGGUCCCCAAGGUGAACAGCCUCUGCUCGAUAUGAAAAAUGCAGGUGAGGGAAGUCGGCAAAUUAGACCCGUAACUUUGGGAAAAGGGUUGGCUCUAGUGCUGCGUAGGAUGUGGUUGCUGGUUGUAGCCAUGGAAAAUGAGUCGAGUUUCACGAUUCCUCUGCGGCUGAAAGGUAGUGGAGAAAAUUUUGGAACAUGAUUCUUUUCUGUGGUUCCUGGCGACUGUACCUACAGCAUGCAGCAAACUAGAACUGCAACGGACAAAGGGAAUCCGACUGUUUAAUUAAAACAAAGCAUUG